CAGUACGUGUUUUGAAAUGUCGUUGCUGUUGGUCGUCGGGCUCGUCGGUUCGCAGUUUUCGUCUUUCAACUCUUCAAAACGGGCAAAAACGUGAAUAUUUAGAAUCUCAGUCGUCAGGCACUGCAUUAUGUACAACUGCUUGUGUUACAACUUCUGCACCAGCUCAGUCGGAAGAAACUACAAGCGAUGCGCAGGACUGCAAUUACGCUGCUUGCAGUUUGUCAUACAAAUGGAGGAGACUUGCAGGAUGCUUACGAAUCAUGCAGAACAAGGGCCAGCUACUGAAAAGAGGUAUGUGGCAUAUGAUUGUUGCAGGAAAACAUUUACGUGUACUUUUGCGAAAAGUUUUUCUACAGGUUUUCUCACUGAAACUGAAUUCCCAGUUUAUCGCUUCAAUAUGCACUACGUUUAUGUAAUUUUGUCCUCGGAUGAGGCAAGAAUGGAUCCAGUCUCAUCUGUCACGAGGUGUCCUUCAGAAUGAGAUGCGGAGAAAGGUCACUUGCGCCACUCUCACUGCACCGCCGAAUUUUAUGGCAAGUCGAGUCCUUUCCUUCCAGUUAUGCGGCUGUCAUAAUGAACGCCACUUUGCCAGUGCUUAAGUUUUUUCAGUAAGCAAAGUUGCAAAGCAAAGUUCUGUAAAGUCAGUUGUGAC